CAUCUCGCAUGUGCCAUGACAGCAAAAAAAAAAAAAAAAAAAAAAAAAAAAA
rnacentral:ribozyme from 1 species